AUGACCACAACCACCAUCACAGCCACCUAUACCAAAACCAGCACCACCAUGACCACCGUCAUCAUGACACCAGCAUCAAUACCAGUAACACCGCAGCUACGCUGCCAUCACUCCCACUCCCACCAUCCUCCCCAUCGCUACCAUGGCUGCCACACCAUCGGCACCACCAUCCCCAUCAUCAUCACAGCUGCCAGGGGAGCUGGGGAGGGGGCUGCUGGGAGCCAGCCCCCGGGCAAUCUGAUCUCCAUUAGCCCCUUCUCUGGUUCUCAUUACCAGGGCCCAGGCGGCUUCGGCUUCGGAAACGUGGCCUCGGAGGGGCUGGUGGACCCGGUCUACCCCCGCACCCACGGGGCCCUGCUGAAAGUGGUGCAGAUGGUCAGCCUGCUGAUCGCCUUCAUCUGCGUGAGGAGCUCUCCAUGGAUCAGCCAGAGCGCCUACAGAUACUUCGAAGUGGUCACCAUCUGCAACUUGAUCAUGAUCCUCGCCUUCUACCUGGUCCACCUCUACUGUGUGCUCACCUGCAUCAGCUGGUCCCUGUCGAUCUUUUGCUUCGUGGCCACCUUCCUCUGCCUGGCGAGCGUGUGGCUGUCCUACAAGAUCUCUUGUGUGACCCAGUCCACAGAUGCAGCCGUCUGAGGACACCGCGGCCUCCAGGCCCGCAGGAGGCCCUGCCGGACGUGUGGCCCCGCAGGCAGGAGGACCCGCGGACCAGUGACCUCAAGAGAGACUUCCGAACCUGUGUUCUGUUGCCAAAGCCCUGCCCUGCCCGGCUGGCGGGCACGGCGGGCCUUCUCCUCCCUCCUGGGCUCCCGAGCUGCUCCGGACCUCUCUCUCCGGCCUAUUCUCCUCGGAGAACAUUCUCCUCGUCCGGGAAAGAAAAGCAGCUCCAGGGAAAUCUGGUCUCUGCCUCCUGCUUUUCAAACGGCCUCCGGGACUGGUGCCCACACCUAACA